rnacentral:rRNA from 1 species
AAGCACGGACCAAGGAGUCUAGCAUGUGCGCAAGUCAUUGGGUGUUAAACCUAAAGGCGCAACGAAAGUAAAGUCCCCCGAGAGCUCUGGUCUCCCGUAUUGCACGCGGAGGCCUCUCUCAUAGUGGGGCUUGGGGUGAUGGUCCCUUGACCGGGACCCGCAACCCCGGGAUGUCAAAGUCUCGUCGAGACGCGAUGUCCUCUGAGCGUACAUGUUGGUACCCGAAAGAUGGUGACCUAUGCCUGGCCAGGACGAAGUCAGGGGAAACCCUGAUGGAGGUCCGUAGCGGUUCUGACGUGCAAAUCGAUCGCAUGAGCUGGGUAUAGGGGCGAAAGACUAAUCGAACCGUCUAGUAGCUGGUUCCCUCCGAAGUUUCCCUCAGGAUAGCUGGAACUCAAGGAAUCAGAGUCUCAUAUGGUAAAGCAAACGAUUGGAGAUCUUUGUGUCGAGACGACGUAAACCUACUCUCGAACUUUAAAUGUGUGAGACACGGCCAGGGUGCGUAACCGUACCGGAGGCCAAUAUGAUUUGAUCCGUUGGAUCCAUUGAGCUCCAAGUGGGCCAUUUUUGGUAAGCAGAACUGGUGCUGUGGGAUGAACCAAACGCGAAGUUAAAGCGCCUAAAUGAGAGAGUAUCGAUACCAUGAAGUGUGCCGGUUGCUAGAGACAGCAGGACGGUGGCCAUGGAAGUUGGCAUCCGCUAAGGAGUGUGUAACAACUCACCUGCCGAAGCAACUAGCCCCAAAAAUGGAUGGCGUUUUGAUCUCUCUGCUUAUACUUCGCCGUCAAGGCAAAGUCUGGUCCUCUCCGCAAGGAGAGUUCCUUGAAGCCCUGAUGAGUAGGAGGGCCGCGUCGGUGUGCGCUGAAGCGUUGGGCGUGAGCCUGCGUGGAGCCGCCGAUGGCGCAGAUCUUGGUGGUAGUAGCAAAUACUCCGGUGGAGGCCCGGAGGACUGUGGCGGAGAAGGGUUUCGUGUCAACAGCAGUUGAACUCGAGUGAGUCGGUCCUAAGUCCAGGGGGGAAUCCUCCUCUACGGGUCUGUGAACCAUGUGUAAUCAGUCCGUCUUGCUGGACGAAAGGGAAUGUGGUCAAAAUUCCACAACUCGGGUCGGUACCGACGCCUUGGUCCCAUACCUUGUCACGGUAACGUGAACGACCCCAGGGAAGCCGUUGGCGCCUGCCAGGAGAGUUUUCUCCUCUGUAUAAGGGUGCAAUGAUCCAUGGAAUGCCGUCAAGGCGAGAUAUGGAACGCCUGCACGCGAAGAGCAUCGCACUUCGUGCGUUGUUGGCAGGAUACUUCGGACGUUGAAAACCUGGGUGGGGGCCACGCGGAAGUUCGACCCAAGAGCCGUACCGUAAUCCGCAGCA